rnacentral:rRNA from 1 species
UGCAGUCGANCGAAGUCUUCGGACUUAGUGGCGCACGGGUGAGUAACGCNNGGGAACCUACCCCUAGGUGCGGAAUAACUUUUGGAAACGAAAGCUAAUACCGCAUAUGCCCCAUUAUCUUGGCGAUAGUGGGGGAAAGAUUUAUCGCCUUGGGAUGGGCCCGCGUUGGAUUAGCUUGUUGGUGAGGUAACGGCUCACCAAGGCUGCGAUCCAUAGCUGGUCUGAGAGGAUGAUCAGCCACACUGGGACCGAGACACGGCCCAGACUCCUACGGGAGGCAGCAGUAGGGAAUAUUGGACAAUGGGCGAAAGCCUGAUCCAGCCAUGCCGCGUGAGUGAUGAAGGCCCUAGGGUUGUAAAGCUCUUUCAACGGUGAAGAUGAUGACGGUAGCCGUAGAAGAAGCCCCGGCUAACUCCGUGCCAGCAGCCGCGGUAAUACGGAGGGGGCGAGCGUUGUUCGGAAUUACUGGGCGUAAAGGGCGCGUAGGCGGCCAGUUGCGUUAGAUGUGAAAGCCCCGGGCUCAACCCGGGAGGUGCAUUUAAUACGGGCUGGCUUGAAUGCGGCAGAGGAUGGUGGANUUCCCAGUGUAGAGGUGAAAUUCGUAGAUAUUGGGAAGAACACCGACNGCNNNNNAGCCAUCUGGGCCGUUAUUGACGCUGAGGCGCGAAAGCGUGGGGAGCGAACAGGANUAGAUACCCUGGUAGUCCACGCCGUANACGAUGUGUGCUGGNCGUCNNUUUA